UUCUGUAUUUUUGAUCAAAUAAAUGCUGGCUUGAUUAGCAUUUUGCGGAAAGAGUAAAAAAAAUGUGUUGUAAUAUACUGUUUCAAUAUCUUAGAGAAACCAAUUUAAGUGGAAGGAUAUAGUUUUUUUUAAACAAUGCUUACACACAACAUUCUGGUCCACACUCACACCAGAUGGUGGCGGUAAUGCACCAAAAAGUUGUUUGCCAACCGCCAAUAAACCUUAAUAGAAGAAGAAGACAUCAAGAAGAUCGAGGCAGACGGACUGCACGCUGUUAAAACUUCACCGAGAUCGGUGUUGGACCGGCGAACACUUUAGGCCUAUGUUAUCAGAGGACUUGCUAACAUGAAGAAAACGGUCCAGAGGUUCCACCUGAGAGCCGGGACUGUCGAAUAGUAAGAGACAACGAAAAGGGGGGAACUGUCUUUAAGCUGUGGAGUCAGAUGGAGGGCUCGCAUUUACCUCAAAACGGCAUUGCAGAAGACUCGAACAACUAGAACCAACUCAAGCACACAACGGUGACACACAUUUGUAAGACCUUUCCCUGUGAUAUAAAAUUUCCCUGUGGUAAUUAUUCAGAUUCUUCUCAUUCUCAUUGUGUAGCACUGUUUUAAGCUUAGUGAAUAUUAUGUACAGUAAGCACUAGAAGUAGAGACUUGUACUACUUGGGGUAGUUUUAAAUUAACUUUAAUUUUGCUUUUGAUGCAAAAAUUAUCAAAAGAAAAGAUGUAGUGUAGUAAUUCAAUUGUUUUAAUAUGAAUAUUGUUUUAGUAGUGUUCAGGACAGUAAUUGUCUGUACAUCUAAAUCAGUUCUUUAAACUUUUUGUUGUCUAAGACCUUGAUAUUAUACCUUAAGGGAAAAAGAAAGAUAUUUAAUUAUGUAUUAUGUACCCAGACAGCAAGGAGUGUCGGACCAGAUCCAGCCCACAUCUGGCCCGUGUGAAAUCCAUGCGGGCCAGUUGUGGGCCGGAUCUGGGCUGACACUCCUUGCUGUCUGGGUAAGAUGCUUGUAAUCAUUGCUUUUAAAGGUAUUUAUCAUUUCUACUUAAAUAGUCAUUAUCUACUUGUAUGAUUUGUAUUAUCUGGGAACUGUACAAAUACUGUGGCAUAUGGACAUUACUCUUUUUAUUUGUAACUUUUAAAUGCAAUACUCUUUUUAAAUGCAUUUUCUGUAAAGCUGCAUUGGAAUAUGUAUUGUGAAAAGCACUGUACAAAUAAACAAAUUGUGUUUGAAUUCUA